rnacentral:rRNA from 1 species
GAUGAACGCUAGCGGCAGGCCUAACACAUGCAAGUCGAGGGGUAACAGGUGUAGCAAUACAUGCUGACGACCGGCGCACGGGUGAGUAACGCGUAUGCAACCUACCUUUAACAGGAGAAUAGCCCCGAGAAAUCGGGAUUAAUACUCCAUAUCAUUUAUGAAUCGCAUGGUUUAUAAAUAAAAGUUCCGACGGUUAAAGAUGGGCAUGCGUGACAUUAGCUAGUUGGUGAGGUAACGGCCCACCAAGGCUACGAUGUCUAGGGGUUCUGAGAGGAUUAUCCCCCACACUGGUACUGAGACACGGACCAGACUCCUACGGGAGGCAGCAGUGAGGAAUAUUGGUCAAUGGUCGCAAGACU